rnacentral:rRNA from 1 species
UACAGAGGUCUCAAGCGUUGUUCGGAUUCAUUGGGCGUAAAGGGUGCGUAGGCGGCGCGGUAAGUCGGGUGUGAAAUCUUGGAGCUUAACUCCGAAACUGCAUUCGAUACUGCCGUGCUUGAGGACUGGAGAGGAGACUGGAAUUUACGGUGUAGCAGUGAAAUGCGUAGAUAUCGUAAGGAAGACCAGUGGCGAAGGCGGGUCUCUGGACAGUUCCUGACGCUGAGGCACGGAAGGCCCAGGGGAGCAAAACGGG